rnacentral:lncRNA from 1 species
CCAGCCCUAAAACAGAGCCAUCAAGGCUAGUAACUGGGAAAAGGCAAGCUCUUGGAAACCAGGCUGAUGAGUGUAGAAGGCAAGACGACCUAGGGAGUAAGGGGUUAAAGAAGAAGAGGAAGUGAUGGCUGUGAGCUCUGCUGAGAAGGAAGAGAAAGGAAAAGAGCAACAUGAAGAUAGCAGCUACCACUUACUGGACUCGCUGUGCCAGGCGCUGGUCCAAGGGCCAGCUUCUAGCUGCGAUCUUGCUUCAGCCUCUCCACACUCUGGUUAGGGUCAUGCAUCUGAUCAGUAGCAGACCUGAGAUUUAAACCCAACUCUUAUGAGACCUGGGAGUACACCCCUGUGAUCGAAAUAGAGGUCAACACCACUGCCCCACUUUAAACAUGUGGCACUUUGAGGUGAGAGAGAGAAGCUAGAAAAGAAAUGGAAGUCCGACUCAUUCAGGAAGAGGCACACCGAAAGCGAAAGGUGGCCGAUGACCCGUUUCUCAGUCUCAGACCCUACAGGGAAGCCAAGCAGGUGUGGAGGUGGGAGCUGAGGGGCAGCCGUGUCACAGCCAGGCUGUAAAGGAUGCUGCAAAGAGCCACUGCCUUCUGUGUGGAGUGUGGACUAUUUUGCUUUGAGUUGUGCUAUUCUGCAGUGCUGAGUGAGGAUCAAACCCAGUCCCUCGGGAGUACUAGAAGUAAUGUAAGAGCUCACUGUCAACGUUAUGGAGAAAUAAAAGCCAGAAGAAAAACGUAUUUAAACCUCGCACUUCAUCUCCCAACUGCUGACUUCAGUACAUGAACCCACCAUCUCCUCUGCCUGUUUUGUUUACUGAUUUUUUUUUAACUCCCAGAUAACUAAAUUCACAUGUCACCCUCAAUGAGGCCUUAUUGGAUUGACUUUUCCUU